CUCUUUUGUAUUAAUAUGCAGACGAAAUGAGUCAACAUUGGGUAGUGGGCAAAACUCUCGAAAGUUCAUAAACAUGAUAAAAGCUUAAAUAAUGGAGAGUUGUCUCAUUGAUGAUAAUACUACAUCAUCUCACUUAUAUGUAAAAGCGGGACGAAAGAUACCAGAGGGACAGUCACACUCAUAAAUCAAAAAUAAACUGAC
rnacentral:lncRNA from 1 species